GGACACAGUGCCUUUAUCUGCUCCCUGAGUGGGAUCCAGUGUUGACAGCUGCCUGUGUGGCAUGGUGCUGAAUUGCUGGCUACAGACUCUUAGAAGUUUAACAAGGGCAGUCCUUUCUUACUUACAUCAUUUUUAGAGUGUCCAGCAUUCUUCGUCCUUCAUUUCAAUCACACACUACUACCCAGUGGGAAAACUGAGGCUCAUGAGGAUUAUGGAAUGUUGCUGAGGGCACCCUGCUAAUAAGGGUUAGAUCUAGGAUUCAGCAUUAUUUUGUUUAAAUUAACAUAAUGGACUUGGGUGUAAUAGUGUGUUUGUGGGCACAUUCAUGCUUGCAUACAGGUCUUCAAAUUCUAGCAAAUGUAUAGAUUCAUGCAGCCACUACCAUGAUCAGGAUAUAGAAUAAUCUCAUCUCCUCAAAAAAGCUCCAUCAUGUUGUCCCUUGUAGUCAUAUUCUCCUACAUCCCUAUCCCCUAGCAACCACUGCCUGGCCUGUUGACCAUCACAGUACUUCUGUCUUUUCCAGAUGUUACAAAAAUGGAAUCAUAUAAUAUGAAACCUUUUGGGACUUCCUUCUUUCACUUAGUAUCAUGCUUUGGGAUUCAUCGAAAUUUUAUCAGUAGUUCAUUCAUUUUAAUUGUCUUGUAGUGUUCCAUCACUACCCAGUUUCUAUUUGUUUUUUAACCAGAAACAAAAUUCACUAGUUUUUCUCCCACAUCAGCUACUCUUAUAUGCAGCAUCAUCUAUGAUUAGGAACAUUUCUAGGAGAUCUUCUCUAAUGGGAAGAGCUUUGGUUUUGAACUGAGGCAGCUCAAGUUUGAAUUCCAGUUCCAGUGGGAUUUGGAAGAAAUUGUUUAACCUCUCUGAGCCUUUUUUCUUCUUUCAUCUUCUAUUGAACAGAAAGAACCUGUGUUCCUCUACUGUGUUAAUUGUGUUCCCAGGGCUUCUAGGUGGAGCAG
rnacentral:lncRNA from 1 species